UUUAUUUUUUCUCCUCCGCUGAAAUAGGAAUGACUGAAAAGAACAAAAAGAAACACCAGAAACUUUGAGAAAGCUGAAUUUAAGGUGUCACCUUGGUGUCUGAGAGCCAGUUCUGAGCAGCAGGUCACAGACUGAAGGGGACUGGAAAGCAUGCAAGACAGAGAUAAAAGUAUACAGUCAAUGGAUUACAGGAUCUGGGGCAAUUAAAGAAAAGUUGGAGCUGCGAAACUUCAGGAAGUAAGCUAUAAAGGGAGGAGCUAAGAUUAGAAGGCUAAAUCCUGGUCAUUCAUGCUAUAGAUAGUUAAUUAUAAAUCUACAAUAAAAUGUAGCAGCUAACAUAAAGUGGAGGCUUAAGGUCUGCACUAUGAAAAAGGAGGAAGUAGGGAUAGAACUCCGGAGUGGGAACACAGAGUCAGUCCUCCAGGAGAAGGUCACCCAGCUAGCCGGUGCUAUGGAAGGACGAGGAGCAGAAGUCUGGCUGCAGAGAAUUUGCUCUUAAGCAAUACCUGAGAGUACUGUGCAUCUAGUCAUUUGCAGACCACGCUGCAUUGUAUUUAAUGGUUGCAAUUUAGAGGUACAGAAGAAUUAUUGUAGAAUUAUUUGUUUUGUCUAUUAGAGUACUUGCUCUGUACUUACUAGAUACUCACCUACUAUCCUUUUCACUGAACAUGCAAAUAGAAAAAGAAAUUAGAUAUCACAGAAAGAAACAAGUUGAGGCCAUGAAGUUUCUUUAAGAAAACAGUGGGGAAAUGGGGUGCAAGUAGCCAUGAAUUAAGCCUGGCCAUUCCCAUCCCACUAUCUCCAGUCUUAAAACAGCAACAUCGACAAAUAAACCAGCUUACUACUGACAACGAGAGAUAAUUCAGAUACCGUACAGAAUCUAUAAGGCUUCUGGUUGUUUCAUUUGGACACAAGUUGUACAUUUAUCAAGUAUACCCCACAGUCAUUUACUCCCUGAACUCUUGAGUCUUUUGUUAAUCUAUCUGUGUCUGGUCAGACGGAUCUUGGCCAGGCACAUGGCUUCUGCAUGGCAGCUCCUUUUGUGCACACUCUCUCAUGCAAGUGUUCCUGUUCCCUACUAUCUGGAAUUAUAAACGA
rnacentral:lncRNA from 1 species